rnacentral:lncRNA from 1 species
UAUUUUCCUCGUUCAAUCUAACUGAAACAUUCAGAGCCUGGCAGUCAGGGUUCCCAGGUCAGCAUUUUUUCUUUUAUCAGUGGGGUGCCUUUCUGACACCUGGUGACUCCAGCCACUGGGGUGAGGCGAUUAGAAUGGAGCUGGCAAGUUGUACCAGACAGGAUUGCUGCAGUCUGAACCCUGAAGAGGCCAGCAGCAUCACCACCUUUGCCAUCAGAUUGAUAAAACUCACCUUCAAGAUGAAAUAUUGCUGAGAAACACUCCUUUUUCUUGGGCCAAACUUAUUUUUACUUUCAAUACUAGAUAUCCGGCCUCGUGCAUGGAAAGGAAAAUUCCGGCAAGAAUUUCUUAAC